AUUGAACGCUGGCGGCAUGCUUUACACAUGCAAGUCGAACGGUAACAGGCCGCAAGGUGCUGACGAGUGGCGAACGGGUGAGUAAUGCAUCGGAACGUGCCCAGUCGUGGGGGAUAACGCAGCGAAAGCUGUGCUAAUACCGCAUACGAUCUGUGGAUGAAAGCGGGGGACCGUAAGGCCUCGCGCGAUUGGAGCGGCCGAUGUCAGAUUAGGUAGUUGGUGGGGUAAAGGCUCACCAAGCCGACGAUCUGUAGCUGGUCUGAGAGGACGACCAGCCACACUGGGACUGAGACACGGCCCAGACUCCUACGGGAGGCAGCAGUGGGGAAUUUUGGACAAUGGGCGCAAGCCUGAUCCAGCAAUGCCGCGUGCAGGAAGAAGGCCUUCGGGUUGUAAACUGCUUUUGUACGGAGCGAAAAGGCUCUCUCUAAUACAGGGGGCUCAUGACGGUACCGUAAGAAUAAGCACCGGCUAACUACGUGCCAGCAGCCGCAGUAACAC
rnacentral:rRNA from 1 species